AUGAUGUCAUGUCAUCAAACUUCUGAAGAGAAGAAAAGACACAGCCUGUGAAGUGUAGCAAGCAGGAAAUAGAGAAGGUGUCUUCUAUACCACGUCAUCUCUUAUGUGAAUACUGACUCAAGAUGCUGUCUGCCCUGGGAGGAUACAUUUCUUUAGAGGUUUCACAUUUCAGAGAAACCACCACAUACUGUAGACCACAUGACCAGACUAUGAGCUCAGCUUAACUCCUCCUGUGCCAGUGCCUUCCCCUGCUGCUGCUGCGGAUCGGUGAAAUGUCAACUGAGAAUCAACCUCAUUCCGGACAUCCUUCAACUGCCCAAACUGAUGAAAAUGUUAUGAAAAUUCAUCAUGCCAUUCUGAAAGAUCGCUGUCAGACCAUUGAAAAACUCUUGAAGUUACUGGAAUUUCAUGAAGUUACUGUCGGCGAAUUUCAACUGAGGACUUGGGUAUGUAACUGUUUGCAGCAAAAUUUGUGCCUUGUAUUCUCACCACUAACCAAAGAGACAAUCGCCUGGCUGCGUACCGUGCUUUGAAUGAACACUUGAAAGAAGACCCUGAUUUGUUUUCCAAAAUCGUAACAGGAGAUGAAUCUUGGUGCUACAGUUACGAUCCAGAAACAAAACAGAAAUCCAGCCAAUGGAAACCCCCCACUUCUCCUCGUCCCAAAAAGCCUGACAAGUGAAGUCAAAUGUGAAAACAAUGCUCAUUUGUUUCUUUAAUGUGAGAGGAAUUGUGUACCCCAGGGUCCAACUGUCAACCAGUUUUUAUUUGGAAGUUUUGAAAAGGUUGCAUCAUGAUUUGAGGAAAAAACGUCCCGAUUUGUUGGGAACAGAUGACUGCUUCUUCCAUCAUGACAACACACCUGCGCACACAGUGGUGAUUGUUAAGCAAUUUUUAACCAAAAAUGACAUGACACCUUUGCCACACCCACCGCAUUCACCCGAUCUCGCCCCGUGCAACUUUUUUUUAUUUCCUCUGAUGAAAAGAGACCUUAAAGGAAAACAUUUUGCAGAUAUUGAAGAGGCGAAACAAAAAAAAAGGCAAAAGUACUAAAAGGCAUCAACAAAGAUGAGUUUAAAAAAUGUUUUCAGCAAUCAAAAAAAAAAGUUUGCCCAAAUGUAUUUACAAGUGGAGAGUACUUUGAGGGUGACUGAAGUUUCAAAAUGUACAAAUAAUUAAUUAAUUAAUCAUCAAUUCCUGCUUUUUUUGGGCACCCCUCGUACUAUAUAUGUGUUAAUAUAAAAUUAUUCUAACCCGCUGACAUUAUUUGGGACUAGAAGAGCAAAAAAGAAAUAUAUACCAGUUUAAA